AUGGACUAAGGAGCCAGCACUGGCCGGUCAUUCGUUAUUUUAUAAAAGCUGAAAGAUUCUCUGCGUAUUUUCCC